rnacentral:rRNA from 1 species
AGCGAACGCUGGCGGCAGGCCUAACACAUGCAAGUCGAACGAACUCUUCGGAGUUAGUGGCGGACGGGUGAGUAACCGGUGGGAACGUGCCUUUAGGUUCGGAAUAACUCAGGGAAACUUGUGCUAAUACCGAAUGUGACCUUCGGGGGAAAGAUUUAUCGCCCUUAGAGCGGCCCGCGUCUGAUUAGCUUGUUGGGGGGGUAAAGGCGCACCAAGGCGACGAUCAGUAGCUGGGUAGAGAGGAUGGUCCGCCACACUGGGACGGGGAAACGGCCCGAAAUCCUACGCGAGGGAGCAAUGGGGGAUCUUGCGCUACGGGGGGAAGGAUGAAGGAGCUCGGCCGCGAAAAUGAUUAAAGUUGUAAGGAUGGAAAAUUCUUUCACCCGGGACGAUAAUGACAGUACCCGGAGAAGAAGCCCCGGCUAACUUCGUG